UUUCAGGGGUGCAUCCGCGAAAUCCAUAGCGUCAUGGACGCUCUCGACGGGUACGAACGCUCUAUGGGUGGGCGGUCCUCUCAAUGAUACCACUGGUGACAACAGAGGAGGUUACGCCUUCCACGAGACAUCGAGCACUCCGGGUCGUCAGGCUCAGCCAGCCGUGAUGGAGUCCAACAUGCAGACACCUACAGGCGCCGACGGAAAAUGCCUCAAAUUCUGGUACUCUAUGAACGGGCUGAGUGCCAGCCAAUUACGAGUGAAGGUGAAAGGUGUUGACGCCACAGAGAUGACCACCAUCUGGGAGACCAGAGACCAGACCAGGGGAGACUGGAAGGAAGCCCAGGCCCUCUACACAUUUAAUGGCAAC